rnacentral:rRNA from 1 species
CUUGCUGCUUUGCUGACGAGUGGCGGACGGGUGAGUAAUGUCUGGGAAACUGCCUGAUGGAGGGGGAUAACUACUGGAAACGGUGGCUAAUACCGCAUAACGUCGCAAGACCAAAGAGGGGGACCUUCGGGCCUCUUGCCAUCAGAUGUGCCCAGAUGGGAUUAGCUUGUUGGUGAGGUAACGGCUCACCAAGGCGACGAUCCCUAGCUGGUCUGAGAGGAUGACCAGCCACACUGGAACUGAGACACGGUCCAGACUCCUACGGGAGGCAGCAGUGGGGAAUAUUGCACAAUGGGCGCAAGCCUGAUGCAGCCAUGCCGCGUGUAUGAAGAAGGCCUUCGGGUUGUAAAGUACUUUCAGCGGGGAGGAAGGUGUUGUGGUUAAUAACCGCAGCAAUUGACGUUACCCGCAGAAGAAGCACCGGCUAACUCCGUGCCAGCAGCCGCGGUAAUACGGAGGGUGCAAGCGUUAAUCGGAAUUACUGGGCGUAAAGCGCACGCAGGCGGUCUGUCAAGUCGGAUGUGAAAUCCCCGGGCUCAACCUGGGAACUGCAUUCGAAACUGGCAGGCUUGAGUCUUGUAGAGGGGGGUAGAAUUCCAGGUGUAGCGGUGAAAUGCGUAGAGAUCUGGAGGAAUACCGGUGGCGAAGGCGGCCCCCUGGACAAAGACUGACGCUCAGGUGCGAAAGCGUGGGGAGCAAACAGGAUUAGAUACCCUGGUAGUCCACGCCGUAAACGAUGUCUACUUGGAGGUUGUGCCCUUGAGGCGUGGCUUCCGGAGCUAACGCGUUAAGUAGACCGCCUGGGGAGUACGGCCGCAAGGUUAAAACUCAAAUGAAUUGACGGGGGCCCGCACAAGCGGUGGAGCAUGUGGUUUAAUUCGAUGCAACGCGAAGAACCUUACCUGGUCUUGACAUCCACGGAAGUUUUCAGAGAUGGAUUUGUGCCUUCGGGAACCGUGAGACAGGUGCUGCAUGGCUGUCGUCAGCUCGUGUUGUGAAAUGUUGGGUUAAGUCCCGCAACGAGCGCAACCCUUAUCCUUUGUUGCCAGCGGUCCGGCCGGGAACUCAAAGGAGACUGCCAGUGAUAAACUGGAGGAAGGUGGGGAUGACGUCAAGUCAUCAUGGCCCUUACGACCAGGGCUACACACGUGCUACAAUGGCGCAUACAAAGAGAAGCGACCUCGCGAGAGCAAGCGGACCUCAUAAAGUGCGUCGUAGUCCGGAUUGGAGUCUGCAACUCGACUCCAUGAAGUCGGAAUCGCUAGUAAUCGUGGAUCAGAAUGCCACGGUGAAUACGUUCCCGGGCCUUGUACACACCGCCCGUCACACCAUGGGAGUGGGUUGCAAAAGAAGUAGGUAGCUUAACCUUCGGGAGGGCGCUUACCACUUUGUGAUUCAUGACUGGGGUGAAGUCGUAACAAGGUAACCGUAGGGGAACCUGCGGUUGGAUCACCUCCUUACCUUAAAGAA